UUAUCUAUCAAAAUAUUAGUCACCUUAUGCUUUAUGGUCACAGAAAAUAUAGGCUUAUCUUCUUUUGGGGUGAGAAGCUUGAACAAUCAUGGCAGCCUUAAGCUGCCAGUUUCAUUCCACCAACUACUUUAAUUCUCAGAAUGUCAAAAGCAGAAACAAGCAUUUCACUUCUUGCUCAGCUCAGCCUACGCAAAGCAAUAUUAAGGUUGUGGUAAAUGGAGCAGCCAAGGAAAUAGGAAGGGCAGCAAUAAUAGCUGUCACAAAGGCCAGAGGAAUGGAGGUAGCUGGAGCUGUGGAUACUAAUCAUGUUGGGGAAGAUAUUGGAAAGGUCUGUGGCAUGGAAGAGCCCCUGGAAAUACCUAUAAUAAAUGACCUUACUAUGGUUUUGGGCUCUAUAUCUCAGUCCAAGGCAACAGGAGUGGUAGUUGAUUUCACUGACCCUUCCUCGGUAUAUGACAACGUAAAACAGGCAACAGCAUUUGGUAUGAAAAGCGUAGUUUACGUGCCCCGAAUCAAAUUAGAUACGGUUGCUGCAUUAUCUUCUUUAUGCGAGAAGGCCAGCAUGGGUGUCUUGGUUGCACCAACCCUUUCCAUAGGAUCAAUAUUGCUGCAACAAGCUGCGAUUUCAGCUUCUUUCCAUUACAGCAACGUGGAAAUUGUGGAAUCCAAGGCUAAUGCAAAUGAUCUUCCGUCAGCAGAUGCAAACCAAAUUGCCAAUAAUCUCUCCAACCUUGGUAAAAUCUAUAACACAGGAGAUCCUUCAACAGAUGUCUUGGGGUCAAGUCCUGGGAGAUGGAAUUCGUGUGCACAGCUUGGUCCUUCCAGGGCUUCCCUCAAGUACAACAGUUCAUUUCUCUGGUCCAGGAGAGAUUUAUUCUAUCAGGCAUGAUAUCACAGAUGUGCAGUGUCUCAUGCCAGGCUUGCUAUUAGCCAUUAGAAAAGUAGUGCGCCUCAAGAAUUUGGUAUAUGGCUUGGAGAAAUUUAUGUGAAAAUACUCUUCAAUCUCCUUGUCACAAACUUGACCUUGGUUAAACUCAAAGGGCUGUCCACACUAUUGACAGGCUAGUGUCACACUGACUAACCUGUCAACAAACAUUUAAGGUUUAAAAGAAGUAAGAGAAGAGAAACAGAACCUCCCAAAUCAUUCAAUCAUGUCAUUUAAUAUCUGAACUGUGAUUCGAUGCUUUUCAAAGAUUUUUGUAGAGUUUAUCUUAAAAUUUCAUUUUUGCCAUCAUGAAGAGGAUCAACUAGAGCUAAUCUACAGAGGAUUUUAAACUUAUUUUUUAUCCACUCCUAUUGAGUUCUACAAGGGUCAAGGCUCUCCCGAAUUUUAAAAGGAGAUGAUUUAGUAUGACUCAAUUUUUUUAUUUAUUUUUUGUCCCGGGAACAAAAGUGGUAAUAAGAGGUACUCUCGUAUACUAUAUGAUAGGGUGUUAUUGGCAUGCUUUGGAAUUCGAAGGUUAAAGAGAGGCCCGACUUAAAAGAUCACUUCAGGUUAUUUAAAGUAAACCGUUUUCCUUAUGAGGCUACUCGACCAGCUCUUAGGCAUCAGGAAAUUUUCCUAUAAGGUUGUCCACCAACAAAGGAACUUUUAAUAAAUGGUUGUAUAGGUUCUGGAACUCCUACAUGUGAAAAAAGCAAAGCUUGAGACUGGAACCUUAAUUCCUGGUGUCAACCCAGCUUAAAGUUAUGCUAACAUAUGCAAUUGAGCUAACUAUUAAAAUAAGUUAAAGUUGCUUAAAACCAUACUCAAUUUGACUUAUUUAUAUAUUAUAUAAAACAAUUUGAACCCAAAUAUGCACCCAAUAGCUUAGCUCGACCACACUCGUACCAGUACCCAUACUUUAUUUCGAAUCAUAUGACUAGAAUGUAAAACACCCCACAUGACACUCAUGUGCAUGGUUGUUAGUUGUUGGCCUUUUUUUUUUUAUGUAAUACUUGUUGGCCUUUUUAUGCAAGGCAUAGAGUGUAAGUUAUCAAACCAUCUGUCCAUUCAUAAAUUAAAUGUUAACAAUUCUAAAAACAAUAAAAAAACACUUUUAAUUGGUUAUAUCUCUAUCUUUUUUUAUUUGUCAAUAUUUAAUUAAAAUAUUUUUUUAAUUGUUAAUGUUUAAUUAAAAGAAAAUUGUAAUUGCUAAGAACAUUUGUUGAUCGAAGCUGUAUUGUACGGCGGUGUAAAUUGUUGGGUAUGGCUCAUCCUUAGAAGUCAGAUGACAACCUUUUUUGUUGGUGGGAUCAACAUAAAGCCAACUGAGGUCCCACUCCCAGGUGAGCAGGCGGGGGAAGUUCCCACAUGCCAGUAGAGGCUAGGUACUGUUGUCGGCUUUUGAUUUAUUGUAAUUUUUUCUUUUUUUAGUAGUUUGGGCUUGGGCCCAUGAAUAGUUGUUGUUAGGGUUUUUUAAUUCAAUUUAUUCACAUUGUAAAUUGAGUGACUUGUAACAAGUGGCAGUAAGGUGAAUAUAGUACAGACAAGCUGAACGUAAUUUACAU